AGAGAUCAUGGCUCAGGAUGAACGCUAGCGGCAGGCUUAAUACAUGCAAGUCGUGGGGCAGCGCAGUGUAGCAAUACAUGGGCGGCGACCGGCAAACGGGUGCGGAACACGUACGCAGUCUACCCAGAACUGGGGCAUAGCCCGGGGAAACCCGGAUUAAUACCCCGUAACAUAAUUGAAGUGGCAUCACUUUAUUAUAAAAGCUCCGGCGGUUUUGGAUGAGCGUGCGGCUGAUUAGGUAGUUGGUGAGGGUAACGGCCCACCAAGCCUUCGAUCAGUAACUGGUGUGAGAGCACGACCAGUCACACGGGCACUGAGACACGGGCCCGACUCCUACGGGAGGCAGCAGUAAGGAAUAUUGGUCAAUGGACGCAAGUCUGAACCAGCCAUGCCGCGUGGAGGAUGAAGGCCCUCUGGGUUGUAAACUUCUUUUAUCUGGGACGAAACCCAUCCAUUCUUGGGUGAUUGACGGUACCAGAGGAAUAAGCACCGGCUAACUCCGUGCCAGCAGCCGCGGUAAUACGGAGGGUGCAAGCGUUAUCCGGAUUCACUGGGUUUAAAGGGUGCGUAGGCGGGCAGGUAAGUCAGUGGUGAAAUCUCCAAGCUUAACUUGGAAACUGCCGUUGAUACUAUCUGUCUUGAAUACUGUGGAGGUGAGCGGAAUAUGUCAUGUAGCGGUGAAAUGCUUAGAUAUGACAUAGAACACCAAUUGCGAAGGCAGCUCACUACACAGCCAUUGACGCUGAAGCACGAAAGCGUGGGGAUCAAACAGGAUUAGAUACCCUGGUAGUCCACGCCCUAAACUAUGGAUACUCGACAUACGCGAUACACAGUGUGUGUCUGAGCGAAAGCAUUAAGUAUCCCACCUGGGAAGUACGACCGCAAGGUUGAAACUCAAA
rnacentral:rRNA from 1 species